AAUCAACGCUGGCGGCGUGCCUAACACAUGCAAGUCGCACGAGAAAGCGGACUUCGGUCUGUGAGUAAAGUGGCGCACGGGUGAGUAACACGUGAAUGAUCUACCUCCGAGUGGGGAAUAACUUCGGGAAACCGAGGCUAAUACCGCAUAACACUUACGAGUCAAAGCAGCAAUGCGCUUGGAGAGGAGUUCGCGGCAGAUUAGUUAGUUGGCGGGGUAAUGGCCCACCAAGACGAUGAUCUGUAUCCGGCCUGAGAGGGCGCACGGACACACUGGA
rnacentral:rRNA from 1 species